UGCUCCGUGCAGCUUCAUUCACAAAAAAGGGCCCACAACCCUCCUCGGGGCCCUCAGACCUGGGCUUUUCAUUGGCCGGUGCGACGUGACGCCACGCCGACGGGGCCUUUCUACAGGCAGGUGCCCGGUGACGCCAUAAAGAAAAGUCUGAGCGGUUCCACCAAUCAGAUAUAAACGUGUGCUCGGGCCCCCUCCCCCAUCCGCCUGCCCCCAACUUUUGUCCGCCGGGUGCUCCUGCAGCGCCCAGACCCCGGUCGCGCUGCCUUCGGGGCGUCAGCGGAGCAGCCUCCAGCCCACCUGGGACUGACCUCCAGGGCUUCGGCGUGUACGUUUGUAAGGAUAUUUCUGGGCUUUCCUGGUGAUCGCGCCCAGUGAAAGGGGUCAUGCCACGGCUGCUGGCUUGGGAAAGAGUAGUGACCGAUUAAACUGUUCGCUGCUCCGUAGACUUCAGGUGAAGGUGAUUUCACAACUGACCCCCACGCCUUCCCGACCUGGGUGUGCCCGGCACUCACGGGGACCAAACGGGGACUAAGAGGUCGGUCAGCCCGCCGGGCAAACACGAGCCACCGUCCUUCCCCUUGGAAGCCAGGGCCCGCAUUUCACUCCGUAAUUGUGUACACCAGUUGCCGAAUUUUUCUUAAAAGUAUCGACCAAAAAAAAAAAAAAAAAGUGUCGACAGAUCCGAUUAUUUAAGUAUGGAAGCAAAUAGCGAAUUUAAUCCUUGAACUUUAGUCUUGCAAUCUGGCUUCCUAUCUUAUUUCUUCUGGGUAUCUGUGGAACAUACCCAAAACCGUCAUUUUGGAGACACUUUAAACAAAUGUUCAUGGUGGCACCUAAGAAGGUGAAUAGAUUGGAGUGUAAUCUUUAGGCCUCAGAGCCCCGAAUUUGACAUCUUGCAGUCUAUUCCUAAUUUUUCACCAGCAUUUUAACGUCUUAUCCUGCAGUUCCGCAAUGACUGCCAGCCUCUAGAAGAGAAAGGAAGCAGUCCUUAACAGCCUGAGGAUGAACAUUUUUGAGGAGUUCUCUGCCCUGAUGGUGCAUUCUCGAUGUAUCAGGUUAGGAGGUCCAGGAUGACAGUUUGCCGUAUUCUGGACCCUUCCUGGCCCAGAAGCGGGAAGCCUGAGAGGAGUGACCUUACCUGCUUGAGGAAGACAACAUGGAACCCCCAAGAUGUCUCAGAAUAUUUCCCAAAUGGAUUUACAGUCAUUCUCCAAAUCCAGCCACCUCUAAGGUCCCGCUGAACAGUCCCUUGUCUCCUCACUGCUGCCCCCUGCAGACAGCUGCCUCCUGGUUCAGGCCCGCGCCAUCCAGCCCCACAGCUCGCACACCCGCGAGGUCCUGCGUCAUUCCAUUCUGAAAGGCCACUGAUUUCCUUCUGACCAUCACAUCACAUCCAGACUUCUGUGGGGUGUGCAAGGCCUAUCAUUCCUUUCUGCCUCUCCACUCAGUCUUCAUCCGCCAGCCACAGCCUCACAUUCAGAGGGUGCUUCUCCCUCAGGGGAGUCUCCUGACUCCCCUGAAAGAUACCUGGCCUGCACAGCAAGACACCAUCAUAAUCUUUUUUUUUUUUAAUAUUUUAUUUAUUUAUUCA